rnacentral:lncRNA from 1 species
CUUGCCUGCCUUUUGAAUGGACUAUCAUGUCAUUUCUCUCUUCUUAUGAAUAUGUAGAAUUUACUAAAGUGUGGCCACUAGAGAAGUGAAUAAGUGACUUGAAAAUGUUUAAAUAUAGGUCCUUGAAAUAUGGACUUGUGUCUUGAAUUUAGUUAAGUGUGGUCAUUUUAAAAGUGAAUUAGUGGGUCGAAAAUGUUUAAGUGUAGUUACUUGAAAGGUGG